GAGGCUAUAGCUCAGUGGUAGAGCACGUGCUUAGCAUGCGUGAGCUCCUGGGUUCAGUCCCCAGUACCUCCG
rnacentral:tRNA from 1 species